AAUAGUAGCUUUGCCACCUUAUAGUCUGAUCUUGUCAGAUCUCAGAAGCUAAACUUGGCUGGGCCUAGUCAGUACUGGGAUGGGAAACCUCCAAAUAAAACCAGGUUGCUGGUU
rnacentral:rRNA from 1 species